AGAGAGAGACAUGCGCGCAUAUCAAUAAGCGGAGGAAAAGAAACUAACAAGGAUUCCCUUAGUAACGGCGAGUGAAGCGGGAAGAGCUCAAAUUUGAAAUCUUCAAGGUUUUACCUUGACGAAUUGUAGUUUAAAGAAGUGUUUUCUGUUGAAGUUUUGGUAAAAGUUCUUUGGAAUAGGACAUCAUAGAGGGUGAGAAUCCCGUAUUUGACCAUUAUUUUCAGCUGUGUGAUACACUUUCAAAGAGUCGGAUUGUUUGGGAAUGCAGUCCAAAAUGGGUGGUAAAUUUCAUCUAAAGCUAAAUAUUGGCGAGAGACCGAUAGCGAACAAGUACCGUGAGGGAAAGAUGAAAAGAACUUUGAAAAGAGAGUUAAACAGUACGUGAAAUUGUCAAAAGGGAAGCGUUUGACACCAGUGUUGUUUUUCCGAAAAUCAAUUACGAAUGUUUUAUUUUUGAGGAGUUAUGACUUCAUCGGCUUGCUCCUUUCUUUAUGAAGCUUUCUUAAUGCACUUUUCGGUUAACAAGUCAACAUCAAUUUCUUUUGUUGUAAAAGGGUAUGAGGAAGGUGGCUUUCUUUUCGGAGAAAGUGUUUAUAGCCUUGUGCCUCUGCAAUCGGAGAGAUUGAGGUCUGCAGCGUAGAUCCUUCGGGGUUAGAUACGUUUGUGCUAAGUUAUAGCUUUUCAUAGACAACUUGUUGACUAUGUUUAGUCUUGUAGCUUACUCGCUGACGCUAUUUUACCUACGCUUAGGAUGUUGAUAGUCACAGCGUGUAC
rnacentral:rRNA from 1 species